rnacentral:sRNA from 2 species
CGAGUUCUGGGAGAGCCUCGGGCACGGAAACGUGCCCAACGAGAAGAUCGCGAUAUGGCUCAAGGACUGCCGUACACCUUUGGGAGCCUCACUGGAUGAACAAAGCAGUAGUACACUCAAGGGUGUGCUUGUGAGAAAUGGAGGAAGUUUUGAAGAUGAUUUGUCAUUGGGAGCUGAAGCCAACCACCUCCAUGAAAGUGAUGCUCAAAUUGAAAACUG